rnacentral:rRNA from 1 species
UUAAAGUAGUAAGGGCGCAGGGUGGAUGCCUUGGCACUAAGAGCCGAUGAAAGACGUGAUAAGCUGCGAAAAGCUUCGGGGAGGAGCACAUAUCCAAUGAUCCGGAGAUAUCUGAAUGGGGAAACCCGGCAGAGGAAACCUCUGUCAGCGUGCAGUGAAUACAUAGCUGUACGUGGGGAACCCGGGGAACUGAAACAUCUAAGUACCCGGAGGAAGAGAAAGAAAAUUUAUCGAUUUCCAAAGUAGCGGCGAGCGAAAUGGAAAGAGCCCAAACCGUGAUGCGUGCAUCGCGGGGUUCGGACUGCGUUGUGGCAGACGUAAGAUAGGAGAACGGACUGGGAAGUCCGGCCGGAGAGAGUGAAAGCCUCGUAUCCGAAAUCCCAAGUCGCCUAGCAGGAUCCAGAGUAGGACGAGACACGAGAAACCUUGUCUGAACGAGCGGGGACCACCCCGUAAGGCUAAAUACUUCUUAGUGACCGAUAGCGCAUAGUACUGUGAAGGAAAGGUGAAAAGUACCCCGGGAGGGGAGUGAAAGAGAACCUGAAACCCUGUGUCUACAAGCUGUGGGACCUCUUUAUAUGAGGGACUGCGUACUUUUUGUAGAACGGUCCGGCGAGUUGUGCGUACUGGCGAGGUUAAGGACUUAAGGUCUGGAGCCGAAGUGAAAGCAAGCGUUAAUAGCGCGUCAAGUCAGUGAGUGCAGACCCGAAACCGGGUGACCUAUCCAUGUCCAGGUUGAAGCUUCCGUAAGAGGAAGUGGAGGACCGAACCCACAUCCGUUGAAAAGGGUGGGGAUGAGGUGUGGAUAGCGGAGAAAUUCCAAUCGAACCCGGAGAUAGCUGGUUCUCCUCGAAAUAGCUUUAGGGCUAGCCUCAUGAGAGUCUUAUGGAGGUAGAGCACUGAAUUGCCUAGGGGGCGUCAAAGCUUACCAAAGCAUAUCAAACUCCGAAUGCCAUCAAGAUGAUUCAUGGGAGUCAGACCAUACGAGAUAAGUUGGAUGGUCAAAAGGGAAAGAGCCCAGACCUACAGCUAAGGUCCCAAAGUACGUGUUAAGUGGAAAAGGAUGUGGGGAUUCUAAGACAACUAGGACGUUGGCUUAGAAGCAGCCAUUCAUUGAAAGAGUGCGUAAUAGCUCACUAGUCGAGAGUCCCUGCGCCGAAAAUGUCCGGGGCUGAAACACGACACCGAAGCUUAGGAAUGUGUAAACAUUGGUAGAGGAGCAUUGCUGGCGGGAUGAAGCCAUACCGUAAGGAGUGGUGGACUGCUAGGAAGAGAGAAUGCCGGAAUGAGUAGCGAGAUGAAGGUGAGAAUCCUUCAGGCCGAAUAUCUAAGGUUUCCAGAGUAAAGCUGAUCUGCUCUGGGUAAGUCGGGACCUAAGGCGAGGUCGAAAGACGUAGUCGAUGGAUAACAGGUUGAAAUUCCUGUACCGCAUAUAAACAGAACUGUGGGGACACAGACAGGGAAUGGAAUCCGGGAAUGGAUAUCCCGGUGCAAGCGAGGUAGGAGUGCUGUUGGCAAAUCCGCAGCACGAUCUGAAGACGUGACGCGUACCGAACAUAAGUAGGGAAGUCCAGGCCCCUGGCUGUCAAGAAAAGCCGCUAUUGUUUUAUAUGUGCCCGUACCGCAAACCGACACAGGUGGAUGAGGAGAGAAUCCUAAGGCCGACGGGAGAAGUAUUGUUAAGGAACUCGGCAAAAUGACUCCGUAACUUCGGGAGAAGGAGUGCCAUGAGAGUGGCCGCAGAGAAAUGGCCCAAGCAACUGUUUAGCAAAAACACAGGUCUAUGCAAAACCGCAAGGUGAAGUAUAUGGGCUGACGCCUGCCCGGUGCUGGAAGGUUAAGGGGAGAGGUUAGCGCAAGCGAAGCUUUGAACUUAAGCCCCAGUAAACGGCGGCCGUAACUAUAACGGUCCUAAGGUAGCGAAAUUCCUUGUCGGGUAAGUUCCGACCC